rnacentral:snRNA from 1 species
GUGCUUGCUUUGGCAGCACAUAUACUAAAUUGGAAUAAUACAAAGAAAAUUAGCAUGGUCCCUACACAAAGAUGACAUGCAAAA